AUUGAACGCUGGCGGCAUGCCUAACACAUGCAAGUCGAACGGGCUGUAGCAAUACAGCUAGUGGCGGACGGGUGAGGAAUACAUAGGAAUUUGCCUUUAGGUGGGGGAUAGUCCGGGGAGACUCGGUUUAAUACCGCAUGAUGUCGCAAGACCAAAGCAGGGGGUCGCAAGACCUUGCGCCUUUAGAGAAGCCUAUGUCGGAUUAGCUAGUUGGUAGGGUAAUGGCCUACCAGGCGACGAUCCGUAACUGGUCUGAGAGGACGAGCAGUCACACCGGAACUGAGACACGGUCCGGACUCCUACGGGAGGCAGCAGUGGGGAAUAUUGGACAAUGGGCGAAAGCCUGAUCCAGCAAUGCCGCUUGUGUGAAGAAGGCCUUCGGGUUGUAAAGCACUUUAGGCUGGGAAGAAAAAACUCUAUCUAAUACAUAGAGUCUUGACGGUACCAGCGGAAUAAGCACCGGCUAACUCUGUGCCAGCCGCCGCCGUAA
rnacentral:rRNA from 1 species